UCCUUGCCAACAAUAACCAUAAGAAUGCUGAAAUCAAUUAACUAAUGUCAGAAAAAAGGAUUUUAAAACACAAAAUGUUACAUAAAAACAGACAUUUUCUAUUUGCAGGACGGCUCAGCUGGUCAAAGUGAUGGAUGUGUAAGCUUGAAGUCCCACUCUGAUCCCUGGAACUCAUGUAAAAAAUGGAAGGAGAGAACAGAUUCCACAAAAUUGUCAUCUGACCUCCAUACACACAGUAGUAAUAAUAAUAACAGCAAUACAUGAUAAAAGGGAAUAUUUUAUGAAUAAAAGGUCAAUCCAUUAGUAAGACACAACAAUUAUAAAUGUAUACUUAAUAUGAUUCUGUGUAAUUUUCUUGUAUUUCUAUUUACCCCAGAUAGAGAGGGCAUUGACAGACCAAAAAGAUUUCAUCCAAAUCCAGCUUGGAGAAACAUUGAUUUCAUUGGCAUGACUUACAGGAGCAUGUGUGGAGGCCUACUUCCAAAGCAUAGGUGACUUGGCAGCUGCAUCACCAAAAAGCCUCACUGUGACAUGGAUGCUGACUCACAAACACUGCAUCACCAAGGUCACUGGAGUCCCUCCAGCAUCUUAAGGCUGCUGCACUACCAAAGGAGCUGUCUUCCCCAGCAACCGUUCACUGCCAUGUAAAGGGGUCUUUCGAGGCUUCCUUCUCCCUUCAUGAGAGAUUGCUAAUGAGCCAAAUCUUGUGACCUCUUGAGAGACACCCGCAUGUGAUUGCAGCUGCUCUGCUUCAAGACAACAACAGUCAUGACCAACCUGGAGGAAACAGCCACAUAAAAUAAGAGAAAUAGAUGAAGAAAACACAGACAAGAUGGGGCAUGUUCAUGGUAACACUCCAUCAGAGCAAGAACUCAAGCAUCAUGUCAGGAAUGGUGAUGCAGGCAUGGUGCUUCCUACCUUCUGCUCUGUGCUUCCAGCCCACAAGCAUGGAGGCCCUUUUAUUCUGCUGACAGUGCUAGAGUUUGAACCCACAGCCUUACACAUGCUAAGCAAGCACAGUGCCACUGAGCUACAUCCCCAGGUCUUGGAAUGUGACUUUUAAAAGCAUCUGCUGUUCAAAGGUCCAAAAUCAAUAGUGAGAAGAGCCCCAAGAUGGCUGAUGGACUACCACCUCCAGAUUGAUAUCUUGGGAAUAAAUGUCAAGGAUAAAAAUGGAAGUCAUCUUUUCCAGGAGGCCUAAUCAUAAACAUUCUCAGGCUAUUUUUACUGGAGAAUGUGCUGCGACACUGCUCCUGGACUCUUCUCAGAAGAACACAAGCCAGAAAGACAUCACAGAGCCUUCUACCAGACACAGCAGGAAAGGAAACGUCUGUUGGCACUAGAGAGGGUUAAUAUUCAAACCAAUAAUUGGGGGAACUAUGCUUUCCCCAUAUACUUUAACAAAUCCUGUGUAAUCCCCACUUUUCCUCAUCUGAUAUGGGAUCAGCCCAUUUCAUAGUCCUGUCGUCAAUAAAAUAUAGAGACAACAGAAAGGAUGCAAGAGCAGACUUGUAUGUAAUUCUACAUAGCUACACAUUUCAUUUGCCUUUCCGUCAUGUUUUCUUGGAUCUGAGAUCUAUGAGGAGGAUGUAACAAUAAUUCUGUA